rnacentral:rRNA from 1 species
AGUUUGAUCCUGGCUCAGAAUUAACGCUGAUGGCAUACCUAAUACAUGCAAGUCGAGCGGACCUCUAGCAAUAGAGGUUAGCGGCGAACGGGUGAGUAAUGAAUACUUAACAUACCUCCAUGAAGGAAAUAGCUAUUCGAAAGAGUAAUUAAUGUCCUAUAGGAGCCUUCCUCACAUGAGGUUGGCUUUAAAGGCGCAAGCCACUUGGAGAUUGGAGUAUUUUCUAUUAGCUAGUUGGCGGGAUAAUAGCCCACCAAGGCAGUGAUAGAUAGCUGGUCUAAGAGGAUGAACAGCCACAAUGGGAUUGAGAUACGGCCCAUAUUCCUACGGGAAGCAGCAGUAGGGAAUCUUCCACAAUGGGCGAAAGCCUGAUGGAGUGAUGCCAUGUGAACGAUGAAGGUCUUUUUGAUUGUAAAGUUCUUUUAUUGGGGAAAAUGAUGAUGGUACCCAGUGAAUAAGUGACAGCAAACUAUGUGCCAGCAGCUGCGGUAAUACAUAGGUCGCGAGCGUUAUUCGGAUUUAUUGGGCGUAAAGCGAGCGCAGGCGGAUUGGUAAGUUCUGUGUUAAAUGCAGCCGCUCAACGGUUGUAUGCGCAGAAUACUGCCUUUCUAGAAUACGGUAGAAAGUUUUGGAAUUGAAUGUGGAGCGGUGGAAUGUGUAGAUAUAUUCAAGAACACCAGAGGCGAAGGCGAAAACUUAGGCCGAUAUUGACGCUUAGGCUCGAAAGUGUGGGGAGCAAAUGGGAUUAGAUACCCCAGUAGUCCACACCGUAAACGAUGGAUAUUAGAUGUUGGGACUUGAGUCUCAGCGUUGUAGCUUACGUGUUAAAUAUCCCGCCUGAGUAGUACAUAUGCAAAUAUGAAACUCAAAGGAAUUGACGGGGACCUGAACAAGUGGUGGAACAUGUUGCUUAAUUCGACAAUACACGAAAAACCUUACCAAGAUUUGACAUCCCCUGCGAAGCUUUAGAAAUAAAGUGGAGGUUAUCAGGGUGACAGGUGGUGCAUGGCUGUCGUCAGCUCGUGUCAUGAGAUGUCUGGUUAAGUCCUGAAACGAGCGCAACCCUACUCUUUAGUUAACUUUCUAAAGAGACUGAACAGUAAUGUAUAGGAAGGAUGGGAUCACGUCAAGUCAUCAUGCCCCUUAUAUCUUGGGCCGCAAACGUGUUACAAUGGUGGGUACAACGUGUCGCAAGCCAGCGAUGGCAAGCCAAUCACUAAAAGCCCAUCCCAGUCCGGAUAAAAGGCUGCAAUUCGCCUUUUUGAAGUUGGAAUCACUAGUAAUCCCGUGUCAGCCAUAUCGGGGUGAAUACGUUCCCAGGUCUUGUACACACCGCCCGUCAAACUAUGAGAGGGAGAGGCAUUCGAAAACGCAUUCAUUUGCGUCUAGAAUGAAUUUCCUGAUUGGAGUUAAGUCGUAACAAGGUACCCGUACGAGAACGUGCGGGUGGAUAAUCUUUCU